CGCGGUAAUACGUAUGUCCCGAGCGUUAUCCGGAUUUAUUGGGCGUAAAGCGAGCGCAGACGGUUGAUUAAGUCUGAUGUGAAAGCCCGGAGCUCAACUCCGGAAUGGCAUUGGAAACUGGUUAACUUGAGUGUUGUAGAGGUAAGUGGAACUCCAUGUGUAGCGGUGGAAUGCGUAGAUAUAUGGAAGAACACCAGUGGCGAAGGCGGCUUACUGGACAACAACUGACGUUGAGGCUCGAAAGUGUGGGUAGCAAACAGGAUUAGAUACCCCUGGUAGUCCACACCGUAAACGAUGAAUACUAGGUGUUAGGAGGUUUCCGCCUCUUAGUGCCGAAGCUAACGCAUUAAGUAUUCCGCCUGGGGAGUACGACCGCAAGGUUGAAMCUCAAAGGAAUUGACGGGGACCCGCACAAGCGGUGGAGCAUGUGGUUUAAUUCGAAGCAACGCGAAGAACCUUACCAGGUCUUGACAUCCUUUGAAGCUUUUAGAGAUAGAAGUGUUCUCUUCGGAGACAAAGUGACAGGUGGUGCAUGGUCGUCGUCAGCUCGUGUCGUGAGAUGUUGGGUUAAGUCCCGCAACGAGCGCAACCCUUAUUGUUAGUUGCCAGCAUUCAGUUGGGCACUCUAGCGAGACUGCCGGUGACAAACCGGAGGAAGGCGGGGACGACGUCAGAUCAUCAUGCCCCUUAUGACCUGGGCUACACACGUGCUACAAUGGCGUAUACAACGAGUUGCCAACCUGCGAAGGUGAGCUAAUCUCUUAAAGUACGUCUCAGUUCGGACUGCAGUCUGCAACUCGACUGCACGAAGUCGGAAUCGCUAGUAAUCGCGGAUCAGCACGCCGCGGUGAAUACGUUCCCGGGUCUUGUACACACCGCCCGUCACACCAUGGGAGUUUGUAAUGCCCAAAGCCGGUGGCCUAACCU
rnacentral:rRNA from 1 species